UGUGUUUUAGUAGCCACAAAGCCUAGAUGUGGUUUAAACUGGUUGCAUGUUAGUCAUGCUAAUUGUAGAAUAAAUCUUUGAUUUUCUUGAUCCAUUGAUUAUGUAUUAAUACGUUGAGGAUUAGAUGGUUCUCUCCCCGAUGCAUGCUUGUGGAGCCAUUGUUGGACCACCUAUCUAUUGGUUUGAAUGAAGAAAGUGCCUAGCCUAGAGUUGGUUGUGUGUGGUUAGUCACCUAUUCCUAAAUGAUGUGGUUUUUACAUCAGCUUGAGAUGUUUGUCAAAUGUGUGAAGGAUUACGGGGUUAUUAUUGACCUUGUAUGUCUGGUACUUUGAGUGCAUCGUAUGAUAGAAUGAAAUGUAAGUUUAUGAACUACAGUAGAUGAAGACUUAUAUUAUGUGUAGGUUAACCUUACUAGUUUGGAUAUUUUUCUUAGUUGAGUUGUUGGAUGAAGUAUAGUGACAUUGGUUAACCAAGUAUUGUGUUGUUGUGCUGUCAGUGCUCUUUGUGGAGCUUUUGGCAUUUCUUUGAUGAAAUGUGCCGUGCAGAAUGUUAUUGGCUUCUUGUUGGCUUUAUUGCUCCAUUAGUUCUGUAGAUUUUCUCCCUUUUGUGGGGUGCAAAGAAUGUUAGAUUACAUGAUUAUCUUUUCAUGAUGGCAAGAAUAAGGUUUAGGAAGAUUAGGAGUUUUGUUUCAAUAGAACUACUUGUUUCGUGGUGCUUUGAGGUGAGGUGUUUGAUCUUCUUAUACAUUCGUCGGGUGUGGAUGUUUCACCAUUUAAUUAAAAUUAAUUGUUGAAGUUGGUAAGGGUUGUGCUUAGUGCAUAUUACCCCUUCAUAAAAGAGUGUUGUCUUAAGACAUUGAUGUUGAUGUAUAGUUGCAUCCAAAUUCGAUGGUGUGAAAUUGUAGUGUUGAUUGCAUCUAUGACUUGCUUUGAGCUUCAUUGCAUGUUAUUUCAUGCUUGAUGUCAGGUUGUGUAGUUUCCUUAGACAAUUAGUCCAAGGUAGAAGUUCUUGUGUUAAUUAAGACCAAUAAUGGACCCAUGUUUCGAAUGGUGGUGCUAUAUGGGGUACCUUGGGUGUUUUGCUUGGAGUGGUCGAAUUCGAGGACGAAUUCUUUUUAAGGGGGGUAGAGUGUAAUAUC
rnacentral:lncRNA from 7 species